UGUGACUGUUCUGAUGUGUUUGUCUCUUCCUGCCUUUUUUCAGGUCUGCAGAUGCCUCCACCACCUGCAUAUGAGUCAACACCACACAGAAAACCAGCCAGUCACCCAGAAUUGAAUGGGUCUAUUGUGACGCAAGCUCAGCCUGAAGAACUCAUCACACAGAGGGAGGUGGCUCAGCCAU